rnacentral:rRNA from 1 species
UACGGGGGGGGUAAGCGUUGAUCGGAAUUACUGGGCGUAAAGGGCUCGUAGGCGGCCAACUAAGUCAGACGUGAAAUCCCUCAGCUUAACUGGGGAACUGCGUCUGAUACUGGAUGGCUUGGAUUCGGGAGAGGAAUGCGGAAUUCCAGGUGUAGCGGUGAAAUGCGUAGAUAUCGGGAGGAACACCUGUGGCGAAGGCGGCCAUCUGGACGUUCACUGACGCUGAGACGCGAAAGCGUGGGUAGCAAACAGG